GCGCGGUAAUAGUCUCGUAUAAUCACUUAGGUGUAACUUGUAUAAUGAGCUAAUGAAACUUUCCUGACGGGUUAUUUACUAUCUGGAACGAAUUUAACGGGCUUUAACGCUAUCUCCCCGCCAUUGAAAAAUUGGUGUACAGAAGUACAAUAUAUAAAUUUGUUAGAAUGUGGUAGGGUGUUAUUAUUUUAUAAUCAAAAGGAUUGCACUUUAAUUGAGCGAAAGAUUAUGUGAUUAUCAGAUGCAAAUCCAAGAUAAAGGAUCAUUAAUGUGAAGAAACAGACUUAUAGAAGAAAUCAACAAGAUAUCAUACUAUACCUAGACUAUUUGAUGUGAAGGAUAAUGCUAUUUAUUGCCUGACAAAAUUCAUGCCAUUGUGUUUUGCUUAUUCAUUUUUGUUGUUGUUUUAUUUUAAGCAAUUAACCUAUAUAUCUUGAACAAUAGAUUACACAUGUAUCGUACUAAUAAUGAAUAAAUAUACUUUUUUUAAGAUUCGCUCAAAAAAGGAGAUGAAUCAAAAAAGGAGAUAAAUGGGGCAUAAAAAGGCCAUGUUUAAGUUCUUGUUGGGUGAAAAUAGAUAUUUCGCGACGAGUGAAAUAUCAGCUUUUUCAUGCCACAAUAUGAAAUCAAUCCUGUAUUUAUAGAAAAUAAACUUCACUUUUUUUGUUUAUUAUUCAUCUUUUUCUUUCGUUUGACACUAAAAUUUGAAUGACUUUCCCUUUAACUUUGUAAUUUGACUGAGUUAAGAAGAAUGUAGUCCGAAAAGACACCAGUGAAAAACUGAAAUAUGUUUCACUGCAGUCCUUUCAAUAAAACAAGGAAAAUAAACUAUUUUUUAUGUCAUCAAUAUUUCUCAAUAUUUCAGAAUUUAUAUUAAUGAUAUUUAAGAAUAUAAUGAAAAGGGAUACAAAGGUUUUUUUUAUGUAAUUACGUGAUUUAUUUCAUCGAGUGAUAUGAAAAUAAAUAUUUCACCAGC